rnacentral:RNase_P_RNA from 1 species
CCAGAGGGUCGGGCGGCCGCCGCUUGCGUUUCACGCGAGGGGAGGAAAGUCCGGGCUCCACGGAAACGACGGUGGCGGGUAACGCCCGCCGGGGGCGACCCCAGGGACAGUGCCACAGAGAGCAGACCGCCGCUGAUGCCUCGGGAUCGGCGGCAAGGGUGAAAGGGUGCGGUAAGAGCGCACCGCGGCCCCGGCAACGGGUGCCGGUCGUGGUAAACCCCACCGGGAGCAAGACCGAAUAGGGACGGCACACGCGCUUCGUUCCGGCGCGUCGUCCGGGUUGGUUGCUGGAGGCGGCGCGCGAGCGUCGUCCUAGAGGAAUGGUCGCCCAUCCCCGUCCUACCGGGACGGGGUGGACAGAACCCGGCUUACAGACCCUCUGGCGCU